rnacentral:rRNA from 1 species
AGUUAAGCUUCAGCACGCCAAAAGUAGUUGGGGGAUCGCCCCCUGCGAGGAUAGGACGUUGCCACGC